rnacentral:rRNA from 1 species
UACGUAGGUGGCAAGCGUUGUCCGGAUUUACUGGGCGUAAAGAGCGCGCAGGCGGUCAGAUAAGUCGAAUGUGAAAGCCCCCGGCUCAACUGGGGAGGGUCAUUCGAUACUGUUCGACUCGAAGGCAGGAGAGGGAAGUGGAAUUCCCGGUGUAGUGGUGAAAUGCGUAGAGAUCGUAAGGAAGACCAGUGGCGAAGGCGGGUCUCUGGGCAGUAACUGACGCUGAGGAGCGAAAGCGUGGGGAGCGAACAGG